rnacentral:rRNA from 1 species
AUGAACGCUGGCGGCAUGUUUAAGGCAUGCAAGUCGAACGAUGAUUUAUGACUUCGGUUAUUAGAUCAAGUGGCAAACGGGAGAGUAACACAUUGGUAACCUACCUCCAAGACGGGCAUAGCUCACCGAAAGGUGAAUUAACACCCGAUGGUCAUGAGGGGACGCAAGUCAUUCUCAUGUAAAUAAUUUAUUGCUUGGAGAGGGGCCUAUGUCUGAUUAGCUAGUUGGUGGGGUAAUGGCCUACCAAGGCUCUGAUCAGUACCGGGCGUGAGAGCGUGACCCGGCUCACUGGGACUGAGACACUGCCCAGACUCCUACGGGAGGCUGCAGUCAAGAAUCUUCCACAAUGGGCGAAAGCCUGAUGGAGCGAUGCCGCGUGCAGGAAGAAGUCCUUCGGGAUGUAAACUGCUUUUAUUAGGGACGAAUUCGUGACGGUACCUAAUGAAUAAGAGGUUGCUAACUCUGU